ACCUUCGCUCCAGUAGCCUACGUUCACAGCACUCACAACCAUGUCAGAGAAGCGCAUCGACUGGCACUCCAUGAUGAUGACGGAGGACGACCCGAUCAAGAUCCCGACUCCUCGCAUGGGCACUCCCGCUCGUAUGGGCACCCCUCGUAUCGCGACGCCCGCCCGCAUCCCGACUCCCAUGCCAGCUCACACGCAGUCCGAGGCCGCCGUCUUCUACCAGUUCCUUGAGGCGCACGAAGACCACUCCGCAGCGCCCACCCCUACCGACGUCUGGCACAACCCGGCUAUGCGCGUCGACCCUCACCUUGACGCCGACGCUGCAUACUCGUCGCUUCCACACUGGGCUUGGGCUUUCGAGGACUGAAGGGUCUAGGAUAGGAUUUGGGCCGGGGCACCUCUCUUGGGUUUCUGGCUGUACAUACUGUACUCGUCUCGCACUGCAUGCCGUCUCGCUAUCCUGUUCUGCCAAUCUCGGAGCUGGGCAAUGCAGGAAGCGAGGCGGCGGUCGCGCCCACCUUUCCGCUUGGGAACAC
rnacentral:misc_RNA from 1 species